GGGAACGGAAGACUAUUUGGUACUGGCAGACGAUGACGAAGUUCUGGUUCAAGAAACGCUGUACAAAAUGAUCGAGUUCGCGAGACCAAGAGUGAAAAUAUGGACGGCCGACUUGAUACUACUGCUGACGGGUCGCAGGUUGGUUUACACUAAAGGCGACUGGAAAACUAGGAAUAUCGAACGGACGGGGUCAUCAUAUUUGAGCGGAGCCUGCGGCUAUUUUAAAGUGGCGAUCGUUUCUGACCGUCUUCAACGACACGAUCUUUACGUCACCGUGGCCCACGAAAUAGGACAUAC
rnacentral:lncRNA from 1 species